rnacentral:rRNA from 1 species
CCCUUAGAUGUUCUGGGCCGCACGCGCGCUACACUGAUGCAUUCAACGAGCCUAUCCUUGACCGACAGGUCCGGGUAAUCUUUGAAUCUGCAUCGCGACGGGGAUAGAUUAUUGCAAUUAUUAAUCUUCAACGAGGAAUGCCUAGUAGGCGCAAGUCAUCAGCUUGCGUCGAUUACGUCCCUGCCCUUUGUACACACCGCCCGUCGCUCCUACCGAUUGGGUGUGCUGGUGAAAUGUUCGGAUCGGCCGUUUGUCGCGGUUUCCGCGUCAUGUGGCUGAGAAGUUCAUUAAACCCUCCCACCUAGAGGAAGGAGAAGUCGUAACA